rnacentral:tRNA from 1 species
GCCAGUGUAGCUCAGUGGUUGAGCGUCGAUCUCUGAAACAGGAGGUCACGGUUCAAUUCCCAGUCAAGGGCA